rnacentral:rRNA from 1 species
AUGGACUCCAACGCCAACGGCGGGCGCAGCACGAUGGUAGGGGAGAUGGAGAGCAGCUUGGAGCGGGUCAGGCGGCAGCUCUCCUCCAGCUCCACCCGCCAUAUCCUCCAGGGCCCUCUCUUAAAGCGAUCCGAUACACUCAGGAAAUGGAAUGAGCGGUGGGUUAUACUUGAUCCAGCUACUGGAAAGAUGGAAUACAAGGUUCGUAGAAGUGAUACAACUGUGAGGGGAAUAAUUGUGUUCGAUUCAACAAGCACCGUCACUUUGUCACCUACCAACUUUCAUGGACUGCCAAAAUAUGAAGGAUGUUGUGAGUACUUUCUUUGUGCAGAAACUCCCAGCGCUGCAAGAGCAUGGGUAUCUACUUUACAUGCAACUCAGUUGGUCCUACAGGCUCAUAAACAGGCGGUGGAUUCAUUGGGUGGAAAUGGUUCUGCAAAAUUGGGAACAGUUGCUACUGUUGUGGCUGUGGCCAAUGCAACUGCGAUUGAAGCAUCCAAAGAGGUAGAAGCAGCGAUGAAGAUCUCCCUGCGGGCAGCUUUAGGCUCAACUACAAAUAAACUUAGUAAAGGUCAAUUAGAUGAUCUCACAAUCAUGAUGGAGACCCUUCGAGUUAAAGAUGAUGAACUGCACCAGCUAUUGCAGGAUAUCCGUGCACGAGAUUCCACCAUCAGGGAGAUUACAGAUAAAUUACAGGAGACUGCUGAGGCAGCUGAAACUGCUGCUUCUGCUGCUCAUGCAAUUGAUGAAGCAAGAAGAUUUUUAUCUUCAGAACUUGAACGCCUGAAACAAGAUCAGGAAAAUCAAGUUGAAUUGUCCUUGCUUAGGCUAAGGGAAUCAGAAGAAAAGUCAAAGCUUCUUGCUGAAGAAAGAGAGCAUUUACUCAAGGAAAGAGAUUCUGCUCUUCAAGAAGCUCAGAUGUGGCGCUCUGAGCUUGGAAAAGCUAGAGGAAAUGCUGUCAUUUUAGAAGCAGCUGUUGUGAGAGCUGAAGAGAAAGCUAGGGUUUCAGCAGCCGAUGCUGACAUGCGAAUAAAGGAAGCUGUGAGUAAGCUCGAGUCUGCUGCGAAAGAAAAGGAAGAACUCUUAGCUCUCGUGGAUGCUCUAAAAUCACAAAUACAAAGGCAAGAGACUAGCACAAAACAAAUCUGUGAGGAAAGGUCAGAGCUGUGCUCUACUUCAAAGCAUAUGGACAUGGACGACGAUAACGUGGAUAAGGCUUGUUUAAGCGAUACAGACCUGAUACCCAUUGCGGAGAACAUAGUCGAGUUGGAUGACGAGGGAGUCGAUAUACGUACGAUCGGGGACACAGAGUGGGAAAAUCCUCAUUCCUCUGAAGUAUCUGAUGUAAGGGAGGUGACCACAGAAGCUGAAGAAAACAGCUUGGAUAUUCCUGUUGAUAGCCAGCCAGUUGCUGACGAUACUUUCCAAGGCUAG